CAUGCAGUCGAACGAUGAUCCCAGCUUGCUGGGGGAUUAGUGGCGAACGGGUGAGUAACACGUGAGUAACCUGCCCUUGACUCUGGGAUAAGCCUGGGAAACUGGGUCUAAUACCGGAUAUGACUCCUCAUCGCAUGGUGGGGGGUGGAAAGCUUUUGUGGUUUUGGAUGGACUCGCGGCCUAUCAGCUUGUUGGUGGGGUAAUGGCCUACCAAGGCGACGACGGGUAGCCGGCCUGAGAGGGUGACCGGCCACACUGGGACUGAGACACGGCCCAGACUCCUACGGGAGGCAGCAGUGGGGAAUAUUGCACAAUGGGCGCAAGCCUGAUGCAGCGACGCCGCGUGAGGGAUGACGGCCUUCGGGUUGUAAACCUCUUUCAGUAGGGAAGAAGCGAAAGUGACGGUACCUGCAGAAGAAGCGCCGGCUAACUACGUGCCAGCAGCCGCGGUAAUACGUAGGGCGCAAGCGUUAUCCGGAAUUAUUGGGCGUAAAGAGCUCGUAGGCGGUUUGUCGCGUCUGCUGUGAAAGACCGGGGCUCAACUCCGGUUCUGCAGUGGGUACGGGCAGACUAGAGUGCAGUAGGGGAGACUGGAAUUCCUGGUGUAGCGGUGAAAUGCGCAGAUAUCAGGAGGAACACCGAUGGCGAAGGCAGGUCUCUGGGCUGUAACUGACGCUGAGGAGCGAAAGCAUGGGGAGCGAACAGGAUUAGAUACCCUGGUAGUCCAUGCCGUAAACGUUGGGCACUAGGUGUGGGGGACAUUCCACGUUUUCCGCGCCGUAGCUAACGCAUUAAGUGCCCCGCCUGGGGAGUACGGCCGCAAGGCUAAAACUCAAAGG
rnacentral:rRNA from 1 species